rnacentral:misc_RNA from 1 species
CAACAGGUUAAUGAAUGUUCCAUUAUUUGAAAGAAAAUCAAAAUCAAUGUACUUAAAAAAAACCACAGCCAAGAAGAUCAGAACAUUUUACACAAAGCAUCCAAACAAAAUUUUUCAUACUCAAGUGUAACAUUCUAGAAUUGCUUUUCUAAUUCAUUAGUUUAUUCAUCUUAUUUCUCUCCUCUCUCUCAAAUUUCAAGCAAAAAGUGGAGAUUGGAGGGACCAAGGUUGCCCCUCAGUCCUCAGUCUCUCACCCUUCCACAGUUCCACCCUAAGUUAAGUACCCCAGACCGUGAGAAUUUAAUCAAAGUUGAUCAAAGUUGCCAGUUGUUGUCAAAGGAUUAUCCAUUAAGAUAAAAUUCAAUGCCUGCAUCCUAGGAGCAAGUCUCAGCAACUUUUUCGUGGAUGCCAAAGGAGCAAAUAUCGAUUCAUCACCAUUAGGGGUGAGCACUAUUUGG